rnacentral:rRNA from 1 species
UACGGGGGGGGCAAGCGUUGUUCGGAAUUACUGGGCGUAAAGGGUUCGUAGGUGGCCAACUAAGUCAGACGUGAAAUCCCUCAGCUUAACCGGGGAACUGCGUCUGAUACUGGAUGGCUCGAGUGUGGGAGAGGGAUGCGGAAUUCCAGGUGUAGCGGUGAAAUGCGUAGAUAUCUGGAGGAACACCGGUGGCGAAGGCGGCAUCCUGGACCAACACUGACGCUGAGUGAGCGAAAGCCAGGGGAGCAAACGGG